CCUACGGGUGGCAGCAGUGAGGAAUAUUGGUCAAUGGACGAGAGUCUGAACCAGCCAAGUAGCGUGAAGGAUGACUGCCCUAUGGGUUGUAAACUUCUUUUAUAUGGGAAUAAAAUGUUCCACGUGUGGGAUUUUGUAUGUACCAUCUGAAUAAGGCUCGGCUAACUCCGUGCCAGCAGCCGCGGUAAUACGGAGGAUCCGAGCGUUAUCCGGAUUUAUUGGGUUUAAAGGGAGCGUAGGUGGAUUGUUAAGUCAGUUGUGAAAGUUUGCGGCUCAACCGUAAAAUUGCAGUUGAAACUGGCAGUCUUGAGUACAGUAGAGGUGGGCGGAAUUCGUGGUGUAGCGGUGAAAUGCUUAGAUAUCACGAAGAACUCCGAUUGCGAAGGCAGUUCACUGGACUGCAACUGACACUGAGGCUCGAAAGUGUGGGUAUCAAACAGGAUUAGAUACCCGGGUAGUC
rnacentral:rRNA from 1 species